AUUAAUAUAGGUCCCUGUUCUCAAGCUCACCUUUAGUUGGAAAGCCAAGGUCUUGCAAACGAAACCAACUUAGUUUCAUGUUCCUCAGGUCCUUUUGGUGGUGGAUGGUGGUGGCUUUUGAUGAAACAGGGCACACAGAAGGACACAGGUGCCUGCCCCCCGCCCCAGCCUCCCCAUCGGGGGGUGUGCUGCAAUGAGGAUGACUCUUAGGCCACAUUCCGAAACAGGAACCACCUUCUAUCCAUGAGUAGGUAGAAGCCAGCCAGUCCUGCCAGCUGGUCUGUAAUUUUGGUGAGAACUGCACUCAUUCUUCUUUCAGGCUUUCCCACAAACACCUGCGUGUAAGUUUCACUGGAGGCCAAUGCGGCUGCACCCCGACAAUGAAUCAACUCACUCACGUCAGAGGGCAGAAGCCCCCAGUUAGUGCAAGACCAGAGCCAAGCAGGGCUAAGAUCUCGGGCUCCCUUUCUUCUGCCCAUGAGAAGAGAGCGAUGCUUGACCGAGCCUUUCUGGUCCACCACGUAUCUUCAACACUGCCCGUUCGAGAAGCGACAAGUUGCUUCCACUCUCCUUGACCAAAAAGCCAGUCGUUUGGUGCAGACAGCAAUGAGGAUAUUUGAAGUUGCUGCAGCACCUACCCCCCACCCCCCGGCCAGGGCUGGUUAAAUGUUUGAUAACCACCCUGGAUGAGGGAGUUCCUGGUUUAGAUACUUCAGAUACAAACUGAAAGCUCUAGGUUGUGGCUUAAAAUUGACUUGCACACAGAUGUCAUACUGUUAGAGAAAAUAUAAAAGUGAAAAUCCUUGCCGCGGGAUAGGUACAGAUAAAGGUGUGAGAACCCAAACAUGGAGGUGAGUGAGGACCUGCGUGGGGCUCACAGUGGUGGCUUAGAGAAGUUUCUGGAGAAAGCCAUGUCUCUUUUUCGUUCGUUCAAGUUUUAUUGAAGUAUGGUUGAUGUACAGUGGUGUGAUAAUUUCUGCGGUACAACAAAGUGACUCAGUUAUACGUGUCCACGCAUCCAUUCUUUUUCAGGUUCUUCUCCCACGUAGACGCUCACAGAAUAUCGGGUGGAGUUCUCUGUGCUGCGCCAAGGUUCGUGGAAUGACUGGCCAGCAGGGAUCAGAGAAGGCCAUCCAAAGCAGAGCUCCGGAGGUUCAGCGAUGCUUAGAUGAGAGGGCCGUGGUUCCGUGGUUCUCCGCAUCCAUGUGCCUGAGCGUCUCGCGAGGACAUCUCCGGGAAUCUCCAGCUGCACCAGAAGCCCGCAGAUUGUUCUCUGAAAUGCUGGCACUCGGUCACACCCUUACCAGGAAGGUCACCGCCCCCACUGCCAACACCCUGGGACCCUGGAUCAGAAACCAUCCUAUAGAGAAACAUGGUAUUCCUAGCCUCACCCCGGAGCCUAAGGACACGUCAUCAGAAGUGGUAGGUUUGCAUCUACAGAGAUAUUUAGAGGAGAAGCAUCUCUUAAAACCUCUCUGCAAAAGUCCAGAAGUGGGGUGAAAUAGCUUGCAGAAAACCACACCGCGAUUGAAGUGGUAGAAUUCAGAUUCAAAUCCAGAUCAAGUGCAAAGACGAAGUUGGUGGGCCUUGAAUCACACCAGGCUUCCUAAGGUGAGAUACUGUGACGGCUGGCUGGGUCAGAGGGUUGAGGAAGCUGUGUGGGGUUCAGGAAAAGCCUCCACAGGAGACCUUCUGAAAGCAACUUGAGAACAUCAAUUCAUCGGUUGAAAUGAUAUACUGCUGAAACUCAUUGUUUUAAAAUAAGGCAUAUAUAGUUCUUUAUUAUAAGGUCAAGCAUUGUUCAAAGUGUCUUGCAAAUACUAGCCCAUUUCUGUGUGUUCAUUAAAACGUUUUCUGAAGCCAGCACCCUGCAAUUAUAGGCUUUACAAACUGCUACUGUAAUUCCAAGAGUGCCAAACCCAGUGGCUGACAAUGAGCCCCCAUCACUGACCAAGGAAAUCUGAGGGGUGCGGAAGCGGGCAGGAGGUGUGGAGGGGAUUCAAAGGAGUGGACAACGGGCUAUCGUUUUUCCUGUUUUCCUACAAAGUUACAGAGGAGGCUGGCAGGAUUAAUCUAUCACCUACUUACCUCUCAUGUCACAGGUUACUGGAUCUCUAAAGACUGUGGUUCUUGCUUGGUUUUUUGGAGCAAAGAGAGACAGCAAUGACGGAGCCUGUGAGAUAAGCACUGUGGACUCCUGCUACAGUUUCUGCCACCUCUGGGGGAGUAGCUCCGGAAGUAGUCGCUGUGACUUGCCCGCCAGCCAGGUGCUCGUCCUACCGCCAGGGCACAGGCAGGCUCAGGCUUCCGGCCCUUCCUGAAGAGGGGCAAGGUAAGUUAUUUAUGAAAAUAAGGGAAGAGGAAUAAAAUAUUCCAAUGAUAAAGAACGAAGAUUUAU
rnacentral:lncRNA from 1 species